rnacentral:lncRNA from 1 species
CUGUAUUGGGUGCGUGCUGAAUAUAUACGUCUUUCACACAGCUGGCUGGGGUGUGUGUGGUUGCGUUCCACGUCCAGGCAUAGGUUGGUGCUGUGCGGUCAGCGGGGCCCACAGAGUGCUGUGCUCUCCUUUCUGACACCUGUGUGGAUUUUAAACUGUUGAUUUCACUUAAGCUGGACAUUAAGUGUUUGAGGAACUGUUGGGGGCCGGGGUGGGGAUGAAGGGAUCGCUUCAUUUGAUGUUUACUUUUUGGCAAUGAUGUCCAAACACCACCGUGACGUUUGUGGGCAGGAGGGGCCCCGGCUCUGCCCCGGCUCCAUUCCUCAGUUGUGGCUUUUAUUUCCUGAGGUCAUUCCUGGCGUGGAGCUGUUGGUUUUGUUCCCGAGGCGGUGCCAGAUCCGGGAAGGCUGAGCGCCGAUCCAUCCCCAUCUCCAUCCCUGUGCCACUGAGAGCUGCUGCUUGUGGCCAGGUGGGAGCAGGAGCAGCUGAGGGGUCCUAUUCUAUCUCCUGCCAUGAGCAGAGCUCAGAAACCCCAAAGGGAGAAGUGCUGAGGCUGGGGUGGGCGGAAUGCAGCAGUGCUGAGCUCAGGGUUGGGCUCAGCUCAGAGCUAUGAGUGCUGCAUCGAUGCCUGCAUGCAGCCCUUCCCAGGAACGCUUCUUUAAAGAGAUUAUUUCCCUUUCUUCCUUUCUUUUUCUUUCCUCCUUGGUUAAUCUCAUUCUGUUUCCUCCUUCUUUACCUUCGAGCAAAGAGAUCUGUACAAUAUAGGGGAAAUUUUGUAUGGGAAUAAUUCUGCCAGCUGUCGGCAGCAAUCAGGAUUACAGGCAAAGCGCAUAUAUGGUUACGUGGUCUCUCCUAUCACCAUUAGGAUAAUGUGAAGAAUCGCUUAAAAGGAC